rnacentral:rRNA from 1 species
UACGAAGGGGCUAGCGUUGCUCGGAAUCACUGGGCGUAACGGGUGCGUAGGCGGGUCUUUUAAGUCAGGGUGAAAUCCUGGAGCUCAACUCCAGAACUGCCUUUGAUACUGAGGAUCUUGAGUUCGGGAGAGGUGAGUGGAACUGCGAAGUGUAGAGGUGAAAUUCGUAGAUAUUCGCAAGAACACCAGUGGCGAAGGCGGCUCACUGGCCCGGAACUGACGCUGAGGCGCGAAAAGCGUGGGGAGCAACAGG